CCUACGGGUGGCAGCAGUGAGGAAUAUUGGUCAAUGGACGCAAGUCUGAACCAGCCAUGCCGCGUGCAGGAUGACGGCCCUAUGAGUUGUAAACUGCUUUUGUACGAGGGUAAACUCAGAUACGUGUAUCUUUUUGAAAGUAUCGCACGAAUAAGGACCGGCUAAUUCCGUGCCAGCAGCCGCGGUAAUACGGAGGAUUCAGGCGUUAUCCGGAUUUCUUGGGUUUAAAGGGUGCGCAGGCGGUCGGUUAAGUGUGAGGUGAAAUCCCGAGGCUCAACCGUGGAAUUGCCUCUGAUACUGGUCGGCUAGAGAGUAGUUGAGGUAGGCGGAAUGUAUGGUGUAGCGGUGAAAUGCUUAGAGAUCACGAAGAACACCGAUUGCGAAGGCAGCUUACCAAGCUACUACUGACGUUGAGGCACGAAAGCGUGGGGAGCAAACAGGAUUAGAUACCCGAGUAGUC
rnacentral:rRNA from 1 species